AGAGUACGUGAAACCGUUCAGGGGUAAACCUGAGAAACCCGAAAGGUCGAAAGGGGAGAUUCAGCGUGUCUCGAUUGCGGCGCUGGAUGCUCGUGCGACGGAAGACGUACGCGUCAUCCGCACCGUUCUGUUCUCCGAACCGUGGUCGAACGCGUGCACUUCUCCCCCUGUAGGACGUCGCGAUCCGUUGGGUGCCGGUCUAAGGCCCGCAGUGGAGCCCGUUCGGACGGUUCGCCGUUCCGGACGAACCUGCGGUGUUUCCCGGUCGGCUCGCUCGACGGUAUACAGAUGGCGCGGGGCCGCUACACAUUAGUUAGCGUCCGACCGGCGGCAAGCGCGCUCGUCGUGACGGUGAUCGGACCUGGUGCCGGUCCUGUCCCCGAGUGGCUGUUCGCUGCCGUGUUCUCGGACAGACCUCGUCGAAACGCCGAUCUGCGACGCUAUAGCUUUGGGUACUUUCAGGACCCGUCUUG
rnacentral:rRNA from 1 species